AAUCUGGAAUGGAUGAAAUCGUUCAAAUUCGCUCGUGUUUCACGAAUGCGACUCAUCUGAAACUUUAGACAUUUAGAAUUCUGUAGGUUUCCUGAAAAUAAAAAAUGAAUUUACAACAAACUAUCUACAACUGUGUCACUGGCAUAAAUCCGCUUAUCCGCUCAGUAAAAUCGCCUAAUUUGGCGAUGCUGUCUUACUGCAUGAGAAUCAGCAGCAUCAGCUAUAGUAUAUUG